rnacentral:tRNA from 1 species
GCAUUCUUAGCUCAGUUGGUAGAGCAACUGACUCUUAAUCAGUGGGUCCAGGGUUCGAAUCCCUGAGAGUGCACCA